CACAAAUAGUAUCGUUUGGAUACAAAGACGUUGAACUGGACCGUGUGAAUAAAAAAAGAUUUGCCAGAUGCAAAAUAUGCAACAACGUCAAAUUUCAUUCGUUAUUUUAAGAACCACAAGGAAAGAUCAGCAAUUGAUUUUCCAUGUUAAUAUUUCCUAAAAUGGGGGUGGGGUGCCCUUUUCCUGGAGGCUCUAAGCUCUACACACCAAGUGAACGACGACAACACCCUCCUUCCAAGUAAUGUUCCUACACAACAGGCAGUGAAGGUUGAACCUAGAACAGACCAGAUCCAUACUGCUAAAGGGAGAGAGAGAGAUGGUUGGAUCAGGAGAGGAGUAAUAAAUGACUG
ensembl:lncRNA